rnacentral:rRNA from 1 species
AUUGAACGCUGGCGGCAUGCUUUACACAUGCAAGUCGAACGGUAACAGGCCGCAAGGUGCUGACGAGUGGCGAACGGGUGAGUAAUGCAUCGGAACGUGCCCAGUCGUGGGGGAUAACGCAGCGAAAGCUGUGCUAAUACCGCAUACGAUCUAUGGAUGAAAGCGGGGGACCGUAAGGCCUCGCGCGAUUGGAGCGGCCGAUGUCAGAUUAGGUAGUUGGUGGGGUAAAGGCUCACCAAGCCAACGAUCUGUAGCUGGUCUGAGAGGACGACCAGCCACACUGGGACUGAGACACGGCCCAGACUCCUACGGGAGGCAGCAGUGGGGAAUUUUGGACAAUGGGCGCAAGCCUGAUCCAGCAAGGCCGCGUGCAGGAAGAAGGCCUUCGGGUUGUAAACUGCUUUUGUACGGAACGAAACGGUCUGGGUUAAUACCCUGGGCUAAUGACGGUACCGUAAGAAUAAGCACCGGCUAACUACGUGCCAGCCGCCGCCGUAAAAC